UCUCGCAGUCCAGAACUCCUCAGGGGAUGUCCACCUGCUGGCUUAGGCCCACUCCCUGGGAGAUCGGGCCUAAGCUGGCAGUCAGACAUCCCUCUGGCAGCCUGGGAGCCUUCAGGGGAUGUCCACCUGCCAGUUUAAGGCCUAAGCCAGCAGUCAGACAUCCUUAGCGCUGCCAAGGAGGCAGGAGAGGCUCCCGCCACCUUCCACUGUGCUUGCACCUGUCAGCCCAGCUUGUGGCUGAGUGGAGCUCCCCCUGUGGGAGCACACUGACCACCAGGGGGCAACUCCUGUGUUGAGUGUCAUAGCGACCAGUCGUUUUGCCAUUAGGGUCAAUUUACAUAUUGCCCUUUUAUUAUAUAGGAUGGGAAAAGAUCAUGAGAUAUAUUUGGAGAAAUCAUAGAGCACACUGUACUUAAUUAGGUGUGACAGGAGGUGCCCAUGUAGUCCCCUCAAGUAAUCAUUGCCUUUUGUGUAUGCUUGGCUAGAUAACACUGGGAUCAAGACUCAGGUAUUGUUUAGGUUCGAUUCAAACACAUUGCCAGACGGAGAUGAUGGAUGCAGCAACCCUCAUGGUCCUGAACUAGAGCCACCAGCUCCAUGAUGCGAAUGGUUUCUUAAAAAGAUAUGACUUACUGCCUGUUCCAAUUCAUCUUGUCAAAAUGGUCAACAGUUUCAUUCUGGUUAUACCUAGCAGCACGAUUGGACUCUGUCUUCUGGGGUCCUUUUCUUUAAAUGGUGACUCCCAAAGAGCAAGACACUCAGAAUCUGCCACUCGCUUACCUACCGUAUCGGCUCAGUUUCCACUCCCUAAAUGAGCCUGCCCUUUACUGCCUCGGUGCCUCUCAUUACUCCUCAGUGUGGUGGGAACAGAGAUGAUCUGGAGGUAGAUCUGGGUUUGAGACCUAGAUUCACCUCUUGUCUGUAUCUUUGAACAAAUUUCCUAGGCUGGUUAAAGGUUUUUGAGAAUAAUAAUACCUGCCCUUCCCAGUGUGGUUUGUUAUAAGGUGUAGAUGAGAAUUUGUGCUAAAGUACUUAGCACGGUAGCUGUCACAUGUAGGAAGAAGAGCCAAAUGGAGGUGAAGGUAUCAACUCUACUCAUGGCUGCCCAGUGGUUCCUCAAGUACAGUCUAGAGAUGUAAGUCUAGGAGUGCUCCAUCCACUGAGUGAAAUCUAAAUCCGUCAGGCCUAUAUAGAAUAAGAAGAGAGGAAGCUAAGGAUGAAAUCCUGAGGAUUGUAGUUCUUAAAAGGGUCCUCAUGAAGACUGACAAGGAGCACAGAGUUGCAGGAGGUUAUGGUGUCACAAAAUCCAAAGGAUUUGGGAGCAGCAUUUAGGAAAAGAAGGAGUGCCCACCUGCCUCAAAUGCUGCCAAGAAAUCAGUGAAGGUGUGAGCCGCAACCACAAACGCAUCCAUGGGAUUUUACAACAAAAGAAGUCUUAAAAAAAAACAACAACACAAAACUUGCUGUUCUCCCAUCCCAACCUCCCUAGA